UACGUAGGGGGCGAGCGUUGUCCGGAUUCAUUGGGCGUAAAGAGCUCGUAGGCGGUUUGGCAAGUCGGGUGUGAAAUCUCUGGGCUCAACUCAGAGAGGCCACUCGAUACUGCUAUGACUAGAGUUCGGUAGGGGAGACUGGAAUUCCUGGUGUAGCGGUGAAAUGCGCAGAUAUCAGGAGGAACACCGGUGGCGAAGGCGGGUCUCUGGGCCGAUACUGACGCUGAGGAGCGAAAGCGUGGGGAGCAAACAGG
rnacentral:rRNA from 1 species